ACUGUGAUUGGCACGGCGAGAAAGUAAUUUAGGAAAGGCUUGGGAAAUGAAGACUUCAUAUUGGCUGCAGUUGCUGUUUGUCCUUCUCAAGGCCCUAGAAACACAUUCAGUUGAUAUAGCCGAUUCUUUUUCCAGGCUGGAAUUUAUUUUGGGAUCGUACCUCGUGACAAGCAACGCAUAAAGACAGGAACAUCGAGAGCGUUUCAAAUACUUCUAAAUUCUAUUCUUAGUGCACAAGACUGCACUUUAUCUGCAGUAUGUCAGAGAAGCAAGAAAAGGACUCUCUGUCUGAGAUGAGUCUCUCAGAGAAACCGAGUGUAAAAACAGGCUCAGAUGUGUCCAGCUCUGUGUCUGUGAAGAGUGACUGGUCAAGAGGUAAACCACCAGAUUUCAGUGAGGAAACACCAUCAUCUACCAAAAGUGAAAGUUUAGGCUCUGUGUCUGUUAAAAGUGAUGGGUCACUUAUCAAUCCACCGGACUUACGUGAGGAAACACCAUCUUCCAAAAGUUUAGGCUCUGUGUCUGUUAAAAGUGAUGGGUCACUUAUCAAUCCACCGGACUUACGUGAGGAAACACCAUCUUCCAAAAGGUAUUUCAUGUGUUUUACAUUAUAUAGCUCUGUUAACUAAUUUCUCAAUUAUUGUUUAUGUGAUGGUAGCUUCUUUCCAAUAAUAUACUUACACAGGAAGCCACUAGGGGGCUCAUGAGCAUUUUCUCUGUCAGAUUGUACAGUAGGUAGUGUAUUUGUUGUGG